rnacentral:rRNA from 1 species
UGAAGUAAGUAAGGGCGUACGGUGAAUGCCUUGGUGCCAACAGGCGAAGAAGGACGCGGCAAGCUGCGAAAAGCCUCGGGAAGCUGCAAGCAAGCGAUGAUCCGGGGAUAUCCGAAUGGGGUAACCUGAUCGAGGCAAUACUCGAUCGUUCAUACCUGAAUACAUAGGGUAUGAAACGUGAAACCCGCUGAAGUGAAACAUCUCAGUAAGCGGAGGAAAAGAAAGAGAAAUCGAUUCCGUAAGUAGUGGCGAGCGAAAGCGGAUGGAGCCCAAACCGAAGGUAUUCCUUCGGGGUUGUAGGACCACGUCAUAUUCGACCAUACUGGAUAGUAGAACAGCCUGGAAAGGCUGGCCGGAGAAGGUGAAAGCCCUGUAGACGAAAUCCAGAGUGGGAAUUAGUGGUAUCCUGAGUAAUACAUCACACGUGGAACGAUGUAUGAACCCGCGCGGACCACCGCGCAAGGCUAAAUACUAGUUGGCGACCGAUAGUGAACAAGUACCGCGAGGGAAAGGUGAAAAGAACCGCUGUGAGCGGAGUGAAAUAGAACCUGAAACCGUAUGUCUACAAAGUGUCAGAGCAGAGCAAUCUGCGAUGGCGUGCCUUUUGUUUAAUGAGUCUGCGAGUCAGUGUUUGUGGCAAGACUAAGGGCUUCCGGCCCGGAGUCGCAGCGAAAGCAAGUCCGAACAGGGCGCAAUAAGUCGCAGGUACUGGACCCGAAGCGGAGGUGACCUACCCUUGGCCAGGUUGAAGCAUGGGUAAAACCAUGUGGAGGACCGAACAGGUGAACGUUGAAAAGUUCUCUGAUGAGCUGAGGGUAGGAGUGAAAGGCUAAUCAAACCCCGUGAUAGCUGGUUCUCUUCGAAAUGCAUUUAGGUGCAGCGUCACGUGCUGAUGCGCGGGGGUAGAGCACUGACAAGGCUAGGGGGCACACCCGCUUACCAAACCUUAUCAAACUCCGAAUACCGUGCAAUGGAACGUGGCAGUGAGACAGUGGGGGAUAAGCUUCAUUGUCGAGAGGGAAACAACCCAGACCAGCAGCUAAGGUGCCUAAAUAACGCUCAGUGGAAAGGAUGUGGGAUUACACAGACAGUGAGGAUGUUGGCUUAGAAGCAGCCACCAUUUAAAAAAUGCGUAAUAGCUUACUCAUCGAGUGAUCCUGCGCCGAAAAUGAUUGGCGAUCAAGCGUUAUACCGAAGCUCUGGACUUUGCCGCAAGGCAGAGUGGUAGAAGAGCGUUGCAUGCGCGUCGAAGGGCGAUGGCGACUGACCCUGGAGCACAUGCAAGUGAGUAUGCAGACAUGAGUAACGUUAAGCCGGGUGAAAUCCCCGGCCGCCGUAAACCCGAGGUUUCCAGGGCAACGUGUUUCGUCCCUGGGUUAGCCGGGACCUAAGCCGAGGCCGAGAGGCGUAGGCGAUGGACAUCAGGUUAAUAAUCCUGAGCUCGCAACCCUUAAACUGGGGGGACGCAUGAGAAAAGAUGACUAGGUUAUUGAAUUCCGAGUUGAGUCCACGGACUCAGCGCAUCAUUGGAUCGAGUGCCAAGAAAAGCCCCAGCGUAUGCUAAGCGACCCGUACCGCAAACCGACACAGGUGGGUGGGUAGAAUAUACCAAGGCGUAAGAGUGAAACCUGGUUAAGGAACUCGGCAAAUUAGCCCCGUAACUUCGGAAGAAGGGGUGCCUGCAGCGAUGCAGGCCGCAGAGAAAUGGCCCAACCGACUGUUUAUCAAAAACACAGCACUCUGCAAAGACGCAAGUCGAAGUAUAGGGUGUGACACGUGACCAAUGCCGAAAGAUUAAGGCAAGGGGUUAGCCGCAAGGCGAAGCUCUAAACCCAAGUCCCGGUGAAUGUCGGCCGUAACUAUAACGGUCCUAAGGUAGCGAAAUUCCUUGUCGGG